CAAGUACUCCCUCCGUCCCAAAAUAAGUGACUCAAAAAUGACUCAACUUUGUACUACUUUAGUAUAAAGUUGAGUCAUUUUUGAGUCACUUAUUUUGGGACAGGGGGAGUAUAUG
rnacentral:pre_miRNA from 1 species